rnacentral:rRNA from 1 species
UAUGCUUGUCUCAAAGAUUAAGCCAUGCAAGUCCUAGUACAAGCCGAAUUAAGGUGAAACCGCGAAUGGCUCAUUAAAUCACACCUAAUAUACUGGAUAGUAUACAGUUACUUGGAUAACUGCGGUAAUUCUGGAGCUAAUACAUGCAUUCAAACCCCGAAUAUUGCAAAAUAUGACGGGUGCUUUUAUUAGAUCAAAACCAAACGGCUUCGGCUGUUGGAUGAUGAUUCUGAAUAACUUUGGGCUGAUCGCAGGGCUCUACGCCGGCGACGUAUCCAUCUAAGGUGUGCCCUAUCAACUGUCGACUGUGGCAUAGACGCCCACAGUGGUUUUGACGGGUAACGGAGAAUCAGGGUUCGAUUCCGGAGAGGGAGCCUGAGAAACGGCUACCACUUCUAAGGAAGGCAGCAGGCACGCAAAUUACCCAAUGGCCGAAGGCCGAGGUAGUGACGAAAAAUAACGAUACCAGUCUCAUAUGAGGUUUGGUAAUCGGAAUGAGUACAAUUUAAAUCCUUUAACGAGGAUCAAUUGGAGGGCAAGUCUGGUGCCAGCAGCCGCGGUAAUUCCAGCUCCAAUAGCGUAUAUUAAAGUUGUUGUUGUUAAAAAGCUCGUAGUUGAAAUUCGGCGAGUAAAGACUGACUCAUUGUUUGAUGAUGUUGGUUUAUCACUCGUGAAUAUUUUGAUGGAGGUUUGAAGGUGCUCUUAACCGAGUGUCUUUGAAUGCCAUCAGGUUUACUUUGAAAAAAUUAGAGUGCUCAAAGCAGGCUUAAUAGGCUUGGAUAUUUGUGCAUGGAAUAAUAGAAUAGGACGUCGUUUCUAUUUUGUUGGUUUUCGGAAAUUGACGUAAUGAUUAAGAGGGACAGUCGGGGGCAUUAGUAUUCAGACGUCAGAGGUGGAAUUCUUGGACCGUCUGAAGACUAACAACUGCGAAAGCAUUUGCCAAGAAUGUUUUCAUUAAUCAAGAACGAAAGUUAGAGGUUCGAAGGCAAUCAGAUACCGCUGUAGUUCUAACCAUAAACGAUGCCAGCUAGCGAUCUGCAGGUGUUUUGAUUUUAAGACUCUGCGGGAAGCUUCCGGGAAACCAAAGCUUUUGGGUUCAAGGGGGAGUAUGGUUGCAAAGCUGAAACUUAAAGGAAUUGACGGAAGGGCACCACCAGGAGUGGAGCCUGCGGCUUAAUUUGACUCAACACGGGAAAUCUCACCAGGUCCGGACACUAGAAGGAUUGACAGAUUGAUAGCUCUUUCUUGAUUUGGUGGAUAGUGGUGCAUGGCCGUUCUUAGUUGGUGGAGUGAUUUGUCUGGUUAAUUCCGAUAACGAACGAGACUCUGUCCUACUAAAUAGUUGGAACAUCUCACGCUAUGUUUCAAAUUUAUCUUCUUAGAGGGACUGGCAGCUUUUAGUUGCACGAGAUAGAGCAAUAACAGGUCUGUGAUGCCCUUAGAUGUUCUGGGCCGCACGCGCGCUACACUGAAAGAAUCAGCGUGUUUUCCUAUUCUGAGAAGAAUGGGUAAUCCGCUUAACCUCUUUCGUGGUAGGGAUCGAGGCUUGCAAUUAUUCCUCGUGAACCAGGAAUUCCCAGUAAGUGCACGUCAUCAGCGUGCAUUGAUUACGUCCCUGCCCUUUGUACACACCGCCCGUCGCUAUUUCCGAUUGGAUGUUUUAGUGAGGUAUUUGGAUCGGUGCUUUUCUUGCUAACGCAAAAA